GGCUCAAUAGCUUAGUUUGUAGAGCGCUCGUCUAGCAUGAAAGAGUUAUGGGUUCGAAUCCCAACUGAGCAC
rnacentral:tRNA from 1 species